rnacentral:misc_RNA from 1 species
GGGAGCUGUCCCAAAGAAAGAAGGUGAAUCUGACAAAGCUGAAUCUGUGAAGAUUGCAAAUGGUGAAUCAUCAAAAGCUUCUGUUUCCAGCAAUGCUGACAUGGUGGAUGGAGUUACAGAUGAUGUUUCCGAGGCAGUUUCCAGUAAGAAGGAUCAGGAUGAUGAAGAAGGUGAUGAUAGUGAUGCUGAGGAUUUAGCAGAUGCAGAUGAAGAUGAAUCUGAUCUUGAUUUAGCUUGGAAGAUGCUAGAUGUUGCCAG